AAAAAUUUGAUAUAUUAAUCGAUCACUGGUUAACGGCCGGACGUUUCCACGAACGAAAAAAGAGGAAGGACGAGACCAAGGUCGAGAAAUAGGAGCGAGGCGUCUGGACACUUGAUAAGAAAAAGAAGAAGACAAAUUAACGACGAAGACGACGACGACGACGACGACGGCGACGACGGCGACGACGACGACGACGACGACGACGAAGAAGACAAGGGAG